CNGGUUACCUUGUUACGACUUCACCCCAGUCAUGAAACACAAAGUGGUAAUCGUCCUCCCGAAGGUUAGACUAACUACUUCUUUUGCAUCCCACUCCCAUGGUGUGACGGGCGGUGUGUACAAGGCCCGGGAACGUAUUCACCGCAGUAUUCUGACCUGCAAUUACUAGCGAUUCCGACUUCAUGGAGUCGAGUUGCAGACUCCAAUCCGGACUACGACAUUCUUUAAGGGGUCCGCUCCACAUCACUGUCUCGCUUCCCUCUGUAAAUGCCAUUGUAGCCGUGUGUAGCCCUACACCUUAGGGCCAUGAUGACUUGACUUCUCCCCACCUUCCUCCGGUUUGUCACCCGCAGUCUCCUUAA
rnacentral:rRNA from 1 species